CUUAAAUGUACAGAAUCGUGUAUUAUGGAAGAUUUGUAUUUAUGGACUGAUCCAAUGCAUUUUCAUUUGUGAUAUUUUUUUCCCACAGGUAUUCAUGGCAUGUUUUUUUCAAAACCAUACAGCCCACCGUUCAGUUCAAAGGGAAAAGGGGAUAUUGUUCGUGCCAGAUGCAGCUCUAAGCUCCGUUCCAUUCUUAGCCGAUCGUUUGCACUGCUUUCAGCCGCUUUGGAAUUGAAAGAACAUUGCGAUGCAGAGAUGGGCUGCGCAUACACUCCUGGGAUGGCACCACUGGCACCUUUUAGCUUGGAGUGACUGACUGACUGAGAAUCACAAGCAGCUGGUCGGUUAUUUAAAGGGAUCUUGCCAAUCCUAUCCUCUGUUCCCUGGAAAUCCCUUCUUCAUCCUAUCAGAUUGUUUGCCCCAAUCAUUGCUAUUGAGUAACUGAUAGCAGGAGCUUCUCAUAGCUCAGUGUAUUCUUCCAUCGUUGGCUUCAUGAGAUCAUAAGACAUAUUCCAAUAGAAUAAAGGACAAAUGGACAGAUCCUGUGAAGAGAAUGAAGCUUGUGGGGUAUAGGACCUGUUAUCCAGAAUGCUCGGGACCAAGGGUAU